rnacentral:rRNA from 1 species
GAUGAACGCUGGCGGCGUGCCUAAUACAUGCAAGUCGAGCGAACGGACGAGAAGCUUGCUUCUCUGAUGUUAGCGGCGGACGGGUGAGUAACACGUGGAUAACCUACCUAUAAGACUGGGAUAACUUCGGGAAACCGGAGCUAAUACCGGAUAAUAUAUUGAACCGCAUGGUUCAAUAGUGAAAGACGGUUUUGCUGUCACUUAUAGAUGGAUCCGCGCCGCAUUAGCUAGUUGGUAAGGUAACGGCUUACCAAGGCAACGAUGCGUAGCCGACCUGAGAGGGUGAUCGGCCACACUGGAACUGAGACACGGUCCAGACUCCUACGGGAGGCAGCAGUAGGGAAUCUUCCGCAAUGGGCGAAAGCCUGACGGAGCAACGCCGCGUGAGUGAUGAAGGUCUUCGGAUCGUAAAACUCUGUUAUUAGGGAAGAACAAAUGUGUAAGUAACUAUGCACGUCUCGACGGUACCUAAUCAGAAAGCCACGGCUAACUACGUG